GACGAACGCUGGCGGCGUGCCUAAUACAUGCAAGUCGAACGCUUUUUCUUUCACCGGAGCUUGCUCCACCGAAAGAAAAAGAGUGGCGAACGGGUGAGUAACACGUGGGUAACCUGCCCAUCAGAAGGGGAUAACACUUGGAAACAGGUGCUAAUACCGUAUAACAAGUAAAACCGCAUGGUUUUACUUUGAAAGGCGCUUUUGCGUCACUGAUGGAUGGACCCGCGGUGCAUUAGCUAGUUGGUGAGGUAACGGCUCACCAAGGCAACGAUGCAUAGCCGACCUGAGAGGGUGAUCGGCCACAUUGGGACUGAGACACGGCCCAAACUCCUACGGGAGGCAGCAGUAGGGAAUCUUCGGCAAUGGACGAAAGUCUGACCGAGCAACGCCGCGUGAGUGAAGAAGGUUUUAGGAUCGUAAAACUCUGUUGUUAGAGAAGAACAAGGAUGAGAGUAAAAUGUUCAUCCCUUGACGGUAUCUAACCAGAAAGCCACGGCUAACUACGUGCCAGCAGCCGCGGUAAUACGUAGGUGGCAAGCGUUGUCCGGAUUUAUUGGGCGUAAAGCGAGCGCAAGCGGUUUCUUAAGUCUGAUGUGAAAGCCCCCGGCUCAACCGGGGAGGGUCAUUGGAAACUGGGAAACUUGAGUGCAGAAGAGGAGAGUGGAAUUCCAUGUGUAGCGGUGAAAUGCGUAGAUAUAUGGAGGAACACCAGUGGCGAAGGCGGCUCUCUGGUCUGUAACUGACGCUGAGGCUCGAAAGCGUGGGGAGCAAACAGG
rnacentral:rRNA from 1 species